rnacentral:rRNA from 1 species
GAUGAACGCUGGCGGCGUGCCUAAUACAUGCAAGUCGAGCGAACAGACGAGGAUCUUGCUCCUCUGACGUUAGCGGCGGACGGGUGAGUAACACGUGGAUAACCUACCUAUUAGACUGGGAUAACUUCGGGAAACCGGAUCUAAUACCGGAUAAUAUCUUGAACCGCAUGGUUCAAUAGUGAAAGACGGUUUUGCUGUCCCUUAUAGGUGGAUCCGCGACGCAUUAGUUAGUUGGUAAGGUACCGGCUUACCCAGCGGACGAUGCCUAGCCGACCUGAGAGGGUGAUCGGACACACUGGAACUGAGACACGGUCCAGACUCCUACGGGAGGCAGCAGGAGGGAAUGUUCCGCAAUGGGCGAGAGCCUGACGGAGCAACGCCGCGUGAGUGAGGAAGGUCUUCGGAUCGUAAGACUCUGUUAUUAGGGAAGAACAAAUGUGUAAGUAACUAUGCACGUCUUGACGGUACCUAAUCAGAAAGCCACGGCUAACUACGUG